rnacentral:lncRNA from 1 species
AAUUUGCCUUUGCUUACUUACUUGUAUCCAGGCUGUAUUUGGGCAGGAACAAAUGUGGGCUUUACAGUCAGCAUGCUUUUCUACCCCUUCAAUGCUCACAACGUUGUGAAAGUAUUACAGUACUGCUCUGGGAUGGCUACAGGAGGCACCACUCCUCCAGGUGUCUCCUUAAAAGAAUCCUAUGGAAACUGUGCAUGCUAUCAACAAUGAGAUGACAACCUUGAAAACUUAUCCUGCAAAGAACCUUCCAGCUCGUGACAGCCUUUCCUCUCCUCCAUGCUCCAUAUUUGUACCUCCUAAAUAACUAACACAGAAAAUACUGAAAUACUGAGGUGAUGAGAGGAUCCAGGAUCCUACAGGACUGUGGCCUUAAACUUAAACCAUGAGGUGGCUCUACAGCUACUCCAUCUAGACAGAAGCAGAUUCCAGUGAGCUAAGCAUAAUUGAGAUGUUUGCAUUAUUUUGUCUCAAAGCUUGGAGUUCUCUGAAGUUUCCAUUUCCUAACGACUGAGUAUGCUAUAAACAGAAAGCUACUACUUUGGGACUCUGACAUUAUCUGCACAUCAGUAGACUAUGCAACUCCAGCACCAAACCAUGGAGGCUAUGGUAGAAGUGUUACGUUAAAGUAAGGUGCAAAUAAGACUGAUAACUCGGUUGUGUAUUUUUAUCCUGUUGUCCAAUGGCUUAUAGUACUGAAGAAAAAAAAGAAAGAAGAAAAAAACCACAAAGGAGCACUAUUGCAUGAAUUUAUUUCCACCCUUCAGCUGGAUCUACUAACAGUUCCUAUUGUAAACAGUCCACAUUCUGCUUCCUCCAGAACAGUGCUUAGGCUUACGGUCUUAAAUCUGAUUGUAGAU